ensembl:lncRNA
CCCUCAUCGUUUCACCCGUCCUCCUCCCUCCUCUCACCUCACCUGUUCCUUGUCUCAUCAUUAGUGUCUGUGUAUUUAGUUUCUGCCUGCCCUCUUCUCUUUGUCUGGUCAUUGCUUCUGUCAGGUGUUUCUGUGUAUGCAGCUUGUCUCCUCCAUGUUCCUUGCUCUCCAGUUUUCCUGUGUGCUGAACAGCCAGGUUGAGCCUCCAGUACUCCAAAGGGCAUCCUUUCUGGAUGAUGGCCUCUCUCAGGUAUGCAUGCACCGAAAAAGAGUAAAAAAGAAAAUUAAUAAUAAUUUAAUAGAAUUCUUCCUUUUCUUUAAUAGAAUUUCUAUUUACUUUUUUUUAAGCACUGACAACCAAAUGUUUAUUGUAUUCAUUGUAUGUAAAUUUUCAUGUGAAGCACUCAGCAGAUUAAAUUAAUUUGAUAAUAAAGUUUAUUAAUUACUCACCUGUACUGUCUUGCCUGUAGGUGCUUGAUCGACGACUUGAUUCUCUGUGAGGAUUUCUUGGUACAUGUCCCGCAGGUUCAAGCUUCCAGUUGCUGCCACGGGUCCUUUCAUUUCAUUCAUGAAGGGGUUCAGAUUGUUCACAAUCAAAGCGAUCACUGACAGCUUCCAGAAGAGCACGUUUGGCUGUUUUCACACCUUUGUCGGAUUCAUCAUCCUUGGUAAGCAGCUGUGUCAGGAACACCGCAAGGCAAGUUAUAUAAUUUAAAAGACAUUAAAAAAUUGCAUUUAAAAAGACAUAAGAAUUGCAUUCAAAAACAAGUAAAAGCAUUAAGAAACAAACAUUAAAACAAGUAGGCUUAAAUAGAAAAGCUUUAAAAGGGACAAGACUAGAAUAAAAGUCACAAUGCAGCUCAAAGAUCUGAAAUUGCUUCAGUUAUAGGCAGUGGCAAAAAGAAAUGCUUUCAGUCUUGAUUUAAAAGAGGUGAGAGUUGGAGCAGACCUGCAAUUUUCAGGGAGCUUGUUCCAGAUAUGUGGCGCAUAGUAACUGAAAGCUGCUUCUCCAUGUUUACUUCUGACUCUGGGGACUGAAAGCAGACCGGUACCUGACGAUCUCAGAGGUCUGGAUGGUUCAUAAUGCGGCAGCAGAUCAGAAAUGUAUUUUGGCCCGAAACCAUUCAAUGCUUUAUAAACCAACAACAGGACUUUGAAAUCUAUUCUUUGAUAGACAGGAAGCCAGUGUAAAGAUCUAAGAACUGGAGUGAUGUGAUCUACUUUUUUGGUUCUUGUUAGGACUCGAGCAGCAGUGUUCUGAAUCAGCUGCAACUGUCUGAUGGAGUUUUUAGGGAGUCCUGUAAGGACACCAUUACAGUAGUCGAGUCUGCUGAAGAUAAAUGCGUGAACAAGUUUCUCCAAAUCCUGCCGAGACAUAAGCCCUCUUAUCCUGGAUAUAUUCUUAAGGUGAUAGUAGGCAGACUUUGUAACUGUCUUAAUAUGGCUGCUGAAAUUCAUGUCUGAGUCCAUAGUCACACCAAGGUUUCUGACUUGGUCUGUAGUUUUCAACAUUACAGACUGAAGCUGAGCAGAGACUUUAAGUCGUUCAUCCUUGGAUCCAAAAACAAUUAUUUCAGUCUUGUCUUUGUUUAACUGAAGAAAACUCUGACACAUCCAAUCAUUGAUUUCUUGUGAUUUUCAUCCGUUCAGAUGUGUAAUCACCAAUAGACACAAAGUAAUCUCUCUCAUUUAGAGAUUUAAACCACUUUAGUGUUGUACCAGAGAGUCCAACCCAGUUUUCCAGUCGGUCCAGUAGUAUAUUAUGGUCGACUGUGUCAAACGCAGCACUGAGAUCCAGUAAUACUAAGACUGAGAUUUUUCCGCUGUCUGUGGUUCAAUGAAUGUCAUUGAGGACCUUAACAAGAGCCGUCUCAGUGCUGUGAUGUGGUUGAAAUCAUGAUUGGAAGACGCCAAAACAGCCAUUUAUUAUUAAGUAAUUGUUCAGCUGUUGAAAAACAGCUUUUUCAAUUAUUAUACUUAAAAUUGGGAGGUUUGAAAUGGGCCUAUAGUUAUUCAUUACUGAUGUGUCUAGAGUUCUCUUCUUCAGGAGUGGUUUAAUGACUGCUGUCUUAAUGACUUGGGGGAAGACACCUGAGAGAAGAGACAUGUUAACAAUCUGUAGCAGGUCUGGAAUCAUGCAGUCUGAAACUUUUUUGAAAAACCCUGCUGGUAAAAUAUCCAGGCUGCAGGAGGAAGAUUUCAAAUGCUGUAUAAUGUCUUGCUGGUUUUUGUCAUUGAUUGGAUCAAAUUGUGUCAUGGUGUUAGAGUUGGGUUAAGAUGGACAAUAUGACAACACACCUCCAGUACCUGAUACGCUGGCACUGACCGCUUGUCUGAUGUUCUGAAUUUUGGCAGUGAAGAAUGAUGCAAAUUCAUUACAGGCCCUGGUAGACAGAUGUUCAGAGGCUACUGGCACAGGAGGGUUUGUUAGCCUGUCGACAGUAGCAAACAAGGCACAAGCAUUAUUUUUGUUCUUAGUGAUAAUGUCUGAGAAGAAGGACUGCCUUGAUUUUUUUUAUACAUUUCAAAAUUAACCUGGAGAUUUGUUUU